UAUGGCCAUAUCAUAUUGAAACACCAGUUCCCAUACAAGCACUGAAGUUAAGGAACAUUAAGCCUGGACAGUACCUUAAUGGGUGACUAUUUGUGAAUAUCAGGUGCU